rnacentral:rRNA from 1 species
GACGUAGGGCGCGAGCGUUGUCCGGAUUUAUUGGGCGUAAAGAGCUCGUAGGCGGCUUGUUGCGUCGGCUGUGAAAACCCGUGGCUUAACUGCGGGCUUGCAGCUGAUACGGGCAGACUGGAGGUAUGCAGGGGAGAACGGAAUUCCUGGUGUAGCGGUGAAAUGCGCAGAUAUCAGGAGGAACACCGGUGGCGAAGGCGGUUCUCUGGGCAUGUCCUGACGCUGAGGAGCGAAAGUGUGGGGAGCGAACAGG